UACGAAGGGGGCUAGCGUUGUUCGGAAUUACUGGGCGUAAAGCGCGCGCAGGCGGUCUUCCAAGUCAGUGGUGAAAGCCCGGAGCUCAACUCCGGAACUGCCAUUGAAACUGUUAGACUUGAGUAUGAGAGAGGUGAGUGGAAUUCCCAGUGUAGAGGUGAAAUUCGUAGAUAUUCGGAAGAACACCAGUGGCGAAGGCGACUUACUGGACACAUAUUGACGCUGAGGUGCGAAAGCGUGGGGAGCAAACAGG
rnacentral:rRNA from 1 species